GACGGAGGGUGCAAGCGUUGUUCGGAAUUACUGGGCGUAAAGGGCGCGUAGGCGGUCUGUUAAGUUCGGUGUGAAAGCCCCCGGCUCACCUGGGGGAUUGCGCCGGAAACCGACAGACUCGAGUACCGGAGAGGAGGGUGGAAUUCCUGGUGUAGCGGUGAAAUACGUAGAUAUCAGGAGGAACACCGGUGGCGAAGGCGGCCCUCUGGACGGAUACUGACGCUGAGGCGCGAAAGCGUGGGGAUCAAACAGG
rnacentral:rRNA from 1 species